rnacentral:rRNA from 1 species
AGGGCAAGUCUGGUGCCAGCAGCCGCGGUAAUUCCAGCUCCAAUAGCGUAUAUUAAAGUUGUUGCAGUUAAAAAGCUCGUAGUUGAAUUUCGGGGUUAGUAGGUUGGUCAUGCCUCAGGUAUGUACUGAUCUCACUGAUUCCUCCUUCCUGAUGAACCGUAAUGCCAUUAAUUUGGUGUUGCGGGGAAACUGGACUGUUACUUUGAAAAAAUUAGAGUGUUUAAAGCAGGCUAACGCUUGAAUACAUUAGCAUGGAAUAAUGAAAUAGGACGUUCGAUCCUAUUUUGUUGGUUUCUAGGAUUGACGUAAUGAUUAAUAGGGAUAGUUGGGGGCAUUAGUAUUCAAUUGUCAGAGGUGAAAUUCUUGGAUUUAUUGAAGACUAACUACUGCGAAAGCAUUUGCCAAGGAUGUUUUCAUUAAUCAAGAACGAAAGUUAGGGGAUCGAAGACGAUCAGAUACCGUCGUAGUCUUAACCAUAAACUAUGCCGACUAGGGAUCGGAUGUUGUUAAUUUUUUAAUGACUCAUUCGGCGCCUUACGGGAA